rnacentral:rRNA from 1 species
CAGGCCUAACACAUGCAAGUCGAGCGGAAACGAUCCUAGCUUGCUAGGAGGCGUCGAGCGGCGGACGGGUGAGUAACACGUGAGAAUCUGCCCAUUAGAGGGGGAUAACCUGGGGAAACCCAGGCUAAUACCGCAUAAUCCCUACGGGGGAAAGCAGGGGAUCUUCGGACCUUGUGCUGAUGGAUGAGCUCGCGUCGGAUUAGCUUGUUGGUGAGGUAAUGGCUCACCAAGGCGACGAUCCGUAGCUGGUCUUAGAGGAUGAUCAGCCACACCGGGACUGAGACACGGCCCGGACUCCUACGGGAGGCAGCAGUGGGGAAUCUUGGACAAUGGGGGCAACCCUGAUCCAGCCAUGCCGCGUGUGUGAAGAAGGCCUUCGGGUUGUAAAGCACUUUCAGUAGGGAGGAAGGCUUAUCCUUAAUACGGAUGAGUACUUGACGUUACCUACAGGAGAAGC